UCAGGAUGAACGCUAGCGGCAGGCUUAACACAUGCAAGUCGAGGGGUAGUAGUAGCAAUACUAGAGACCGGCGCACGGGUGCGUAACGCGUAUGCAAUCUACCUUUUGCAGGGGAAUAGCCCAGAGAAAUUUGUGCUAAUACCGUAUGAUGUCGAAAGACCAAAGAUUUAUCGCCUAAGGAUGAGCCCGCGUAAGAUUAGCUUGUUGGUGAGGUAAAAAGCUCACCAAGGCGACGAUCUUUAGCUGGUCUGAGAGGAUGAUCAGCCACACUGGGGCUGAGACACGGCCCAGACUCCUACGGGAGGCAGCAGUGGGGAAUAUUGGACAAUGGGCGCAAGCCUGAUCCAGCCAUGCCGCGUGCAGGAAGACGGUCCUAUGGAUUGUAAACUGCUUUUAUACAGGAAGAAACACCUCUACGUGUAGAGACUUGACGGUACUGUAUGAAUAAGCAUCGGCUAACUCCGUG
rnacentral:rRNA from 1 species